AUAAACAACACACAUAUUCUUCUUCUCCUAAUUGUUAUUCCGAUUCCCAAUUUGUGUGACCUAGAUUUUCUCCUCUCUCCCUCUCUCUCUCUCUCUCUCUCUCUCUCUCAUCAUCAUCAUCAUCUUCCAUCGCGUAUCAAAUUAGGGUUCCUUCUUCCUUCUUCUUCCAAUUUCCAUGGACUUUGAGGAUGAUGUGCACGAUGCCAACGACGUGGAGUCCUUCGACGACGAUUUCUACAGUGGCGACGCGGAGGAAGCUCCCUUGGACUACUACAGCGACUACGACGACGACGCCGAUGAUUACUUCAACGACCUUCUCCAUCCCAUCCCAUAGACGAUACCACCGCCGCCGUUUCUCCCUUCGAACCCCUCUCGAUGCCCCUCCUGUGCCCCGUCGAUCUCCGAUCCCGCAGGUCCCUCCGCAAGAAAUUAUCCUCCUCUUCCUUCAACAGAACCCAGGCGUGCAUCUCCUUUUCUCUCAACCUUUCUUUUUUGGAGUAUCACUCCUUAUGUUAUCAAAUAAUUGGUAAACAUCCUGUCACCGGAGCUCCGUUGAAGCAGCAGGAUCUCAUUCCUCUCAAUUUCCACAAGAAUUCAGAAGUAUUUUGUCAGUGUUGGAUUGAUUGAUUGCUUUAAAGAAGUCAAUUUCUGAGACUGAGCAUGCAAGGGAGUCAAUGAACAAAUUAUCAAUUACCCAUUUGUAUUUUUGUUCAAUUUCAGUGUUUUCUUUUUUCUGAUUCAGUGAACAAAUUAAGAAACCCAUAAAUCAAAAUCAAAUUUUGCAAUUCAAUCUAAUGUGCAUUUUUUCUGUGUGGUUUUUUAGCAGUGAUUUUGAAAUGUUCGAUUCGUUUUAUUGCCUCUUUGAAUGGGUGAUAGCAGUAGAGGACCAAGGCAGAAACCGGGAGAAUAUGUGCUUUACACUAUGAAGGUUUCUUUGUGGUUUCUCUUCCCGUAGUUUUUCAUCCAAUAUCUGUUCUCAUGCCACUACAGUAUCCAUUUUCAUAUCAAACAAGCAGUAGGGGUUUUAAUGUUUGGUUCAAGUUUGCUUUAGGUGUGGCUUCUGGAAAAUUUUCCUUUAAAGAGAGUGUUUGUGCUACAGGAAAGGGAAGUAUCUGUAUCAGUUUUAGAGGAUGACUUUAGAUGACAGGCUGAUUUGCUAGCUUCCAAAGACAAGGGAAAUUAGAAAGGAAGAUAGCUUCAGAAUCUGUCAGCAAGUCUGGGAUACACAUAGCAGAUGUCUCAACCUCCAAAGUCCGGCAUGCUAAUUCUUUUGGUGAUAUAUUUGGAAAUCACUAUCCUUCGUCUUAUGGUCAUCUUUGUCUUGCAUAACAAACCAUGAAGAGAGGAAAAAUUAUAAGCUUUUGUCUAUUCAUUUCUAUUCUACAAUUUUUUUGUGAUUAGAGCUAAUAUUCCUUUUUCUGAUGUCCUUUUCUCCUUUUCAAAAGAGAAAGGGUUAUCUAUUAUCUAUUGGGAAUUCUUUCUUAUGUUGCUUCCCUUGCUGAAAGAGUCUUGGGACUUUCAUGGCUAAUUUUGGAAAGACUAGUAUUUGAAAUAUUAGAUUCAGAAGAGUUAUUAAAUUGCAGGUGUUAUCACUCA